rnacentral:rRNA from 1 species
UACGUAGGGGGCAAGCGUUGUCCGGAAUCAUUGGGCGUAAAGCGCGUGUAGGCGGACUGGAAGGUCUGGUGUGAAAGCCCGGGGCUCAACCCCGGAGGGUCACUGGAAACCGACAGUCUUGAGUCCGGAAGAGGAGAGUGGAAUUCCUGGUGUAGCGGUGGAAUGCGCAGAUAUCAGGAGGAACACCUAUGGCGAAGGCAGCUCUCUGGUACGUGACUGACGCUGAGACGCGAAAGCGUGGGUAGCAAACAGG